rnacentral:rRNA from 1 species
CCCUUAGAGUUUGAUCCUGGCUCAGGAUGAACGCUGGCGGCGUGCUUAACACAUGCAAGUCGAACGGGAUCCCAGGAGCUUGCUCCUGGGUGAGAGUGGCGAACGGGUGAGUAAUGCGUGACCGACCUGCCCCAUACACCGGAAUAGCUCCUGGAAACGGGUGGUAAUGCCGGAUGCUCCAGUUGACCGCAUGGUCCUCUGGGAAAGCUUUUGCGGUAUGGGAUGGGGUCGCGUCCUAUCAGCUUGAUGGCGGGGUAACGGCCCACCAUGGCUUCGACGGGUAGCCGGCCUGAGAGGGCGACCGGCCACAUUGGGACUGAGAUACGGCCCAGACUCCUACGGGAGGCAGCAGUGGGGAAUAUUGCACAAUGGGCGCAAGCCUGAUGCAGCGACGCCGCGUGCGGGAUGACGGCCUUCGGGUUGUAAACCGCUUUGACUGGGAGCAAGCCCUUCGGGGAGAGUGUACCUUCGAAUAAGCACCGGCUACUCGU